UACUUUGUCGUAGGUUUAACUACUUGACUUCUCUGGAGAGAGACAGAGAAGAUGAGUUUCAGAAAAACAGCAUCUUUAGAUCUAAAAAUCAAACAGAAAAGUUUCUGGGGUGAUCAUCAGACACAUCUUCUUGAUUGUUAUCAGAAUUGUGAACAUACCCAAGAAAUCAACACGGUGAUUAAAAAAAGGGAUGGGUUCUUAUUGUCCAUUCAUUCCUUAUUUCCCCCCUUAGAAAUCAACACUCUCCUGAGGAAUCUCUUAUUAAGGUACAUCUGGAGUGUGGACACAAAGAUACAUUGAUGGAGGUUAAUUCGUCGUCUUUGGUGCAUAGGUAUAGGUUUUGUAACGUAAUGGCAAGUCGGCAGAUGCAUUGCACAUGCGUCUUUGCUAGUGUCUACUAUUAUUGACAUCGAAAAGCACUCUGGGGAUUAAGAAGGGAACAUUUGGUCCGAAAAAGGACACUGUGAUCAUAUUGCUGCUGCUCAGACAUUUAUGUUCCCAGGGGUUGCAGCUGCAACUAAGAAUUAUAGACUAGAAUCUGUUUUAGGAGAAGGUGGAUUCAAAAAAUGUUUACAGGGGAUUUCCAGAAAGCACUGGUCAGCUGUAAAACUAUUGGAUAAGGAGGGAGGGUCUUCAUGCUCAGCCUUCCACGUCACCAUGAUCUUGUCAGUCUGGAAGAUCAUCUCCAGGGGAGCUCCUUCUGGAUUUUUAUAACAAUUCAGGUGGACAGAAGCCUGAACAAAUAAUGAUUUUCAGGUCUGCAAGGAACUUGAUUUUAAAGUUGAAGCCAAAGUUUACAGUGAUUAUUGCACAGGAAAAUCAUCACACGGAGCUCUAUUAGAAAGGAUCUCCUGAUAAUGUUCCACCAGGUAUAAUUAUCAACAGACAGAUAUUUCAUCAUGAUCUCUACUUGUGUGCACAUGCUGGAAUGAUAAGAACAACAAGGCCCCCCUUAUUAUCAUGUUCUGUGAGACACGAUCAGGUGUUCAGCCAAAGACUUGCAGGAGCUAUUGCAUUCUCUAUCCUAUGUGUAAGUCAACUGCUUCUUACUUUUCCUUGCUCGGAAUGAUAUCUUAAAUUCAGAAAUUGAACCCGAUAAAUAAUGCAGAACAGAAAAACCAUACAACCACUAAAGCUAGUAAGAUGUUAACGUAGGAUUUAUUAAGCACCUGAAAAUUAGGUUUACCGAUCUAUCAAUUAGACUAGAAACAACCGUUUCAACUACUGAUUUAGGUUAAGGGGAGCAAUAUCUGAGAAGACAUAAGUGUCAUGAAGAAUAUUGACAAUGCAACUACUCCAUUAGCCUUUGAGAAUCAUCAUACGAGAAACCCAUCCGUUAUGCCUUCUCCAAACUCUGAAAGACACGGAAAAAAAAGAAAGAUUAGUAACCGACUAGUAUCUUGGGGAGUUUGCAUGUGAUGUACAGUACUUGCGCUCUCGGAGUCAACCAUGAUAUAACCAAUAUUCCAAUGAUGAGUUGUAUAAGACCGUGUAUGGUUUUCCAGAUGUGAUCAUUAUCGUUGGUCUGUAUUGUUUUAGGUUUAUGUUCCAGCCUGUAUCCCAUUUUUGUUAAUUAAAAUCGUGACUUCAGCCUACAUUGACGAAGUAAUAUGCUUUUUCUGGGAAACUAAAUCAUAGAAGUGAAGCUCCCAGCAAUUUCAUGACUAGGAUAUGAUAGAACUUGAAGCAUGAACUUGAAGCAAUUUCAUGAUUACGAUACGAUAUGAUAGACCGACUUGGGACUGUAACUGAGAGGGGCUUUUGAAUGGCAAAGAGUAUGAUAACUUACCUUAUGGAUCAAUCCGCCUGAUCCAGAUCAGAUAAAAUUUUCAAAGCUGCAGCUUAAUGAGAAGGACAAGGCAGGAAAGAUGUUUGGACGAAACAAAGGCUAGACUAUGGUUUUCUAGUACAAUCUAGAGUACCAAUCCGACAAUUUCACUGCCCUAAAUAUACUCAGGAACAAAGAUGGAUUCCUGGAAAUUUAUUAACAAGGUUGAUAAUAAAAUUCAAGAGCAGAAUUUGAUUUCACUCUUCCUGAAUAAUGGUAAAAUAGUGAUGCAAGUGGAACUUCAGCAAAUGGCUACAGCAUAGCACAUUAGCACCCAGUGUUUCAGAGAAUCAGAUUCUAUGAUGAAUCGGAAAGAAAAAAAACCCUAGCAUUAAAAAUUGUGAAGUAGAUUGAAAUCAAAUAAAUUACGUAGUAAUGUGUGUCAUUAAACAGUUGUUAAAAUCAUUAUAUCUCGUGAAUUGGUUGGUGUAGAGGCAACAGCCUUUACUGCCAGUUUGCCAAAGAUUCUUGGCAUAGGAAAUUACCUUCGCCUCGAUUUUAUGAUUCACGCUCCUUCUAGCUUUUCUGUCUGAAAUGACAAAUCCAUGGAUUAGAAGACAAGAAGAAGAAGACAAGAGUAGGAAGAGAUUACCAGCAUUUGUUCGAGUCAUUUCUGCAGAUGUGAAAUGAAAUCGCUACUUUUUCUUGUGUUUUGAUUUGCAA